GUGCUCUCUUCGGCAGCACGUAUGCUAAAACCAGAAUGAUACAGAGAAGAUUAGCAUGGCCCCUGCACAAGGAUGACAUGCAAAUUCAUGAAGUGUUCCAUAUUUAA